GGGACUAGGAGCUGCAAUUGACUCCCCUCUGUUUCUCACCCUUGACCCCAUUGAAAUGAUGGCCUGAUGGCCCCGAACUCCUCAACUAGAUCCAUUUCCCACAACCCAGUCAAUCCCAAGCGGCUCGUCAUCCAUUUGAGACCAGCCCGGGUUGUUAUUGAAUUGCGCUGUGUAUGGUUGUUCCCCUUUCGAGCUCACUUCCCCACAGCAAGGCCUACUCUCCUCCAUCUCGGCCUUGCUCCUGACCAGCUGAGUGAGAAUCAGUCUGGGAGAAGGGGAGAGACCAUAUGUGUUUGGAAUUCCGAUUCAUCCAGACCUACCUCAGGAGCUGACCGUCUAACGGAAGGUGAGGGGCGGAUAACCGGAAUGAAUAGACCCAGGGAGGUCUCAGGCCUGAGGUUCCUGCGCUGGAUGACGGCGUAGCCCUUUUGUCAACAACCAGCCAAUAGCAAACCGCUUGCGGCUCGUAGAAAGGAUUGCGACAGGUCGAUAGACGUUGAAGGAGACGGAGUUUGAGAUAAACAGGGCAACUCUCAACGGCUUCCUGCAAUGGAAUACUUCCUACUGCCUGUCGAGAGACAGGAUGUUUCCAGGAACGGAUGGAGAACAGGAGAGAUCAAACACUCACCAGAGGAAACCUCGUCUGAAGCAUUUGCAAAUCGUCAUAGCCGUACACCUGAGGCUGGGACAAAGAGAAUGUUAACAGAAUUCGCCCAGGGACAAGCCCAAGUUACCAUUCAACUCAACUCUGUUGGCAGUGAGGAAAGAGGCCAAGACAACAGGGUACCUGCCUCCUGCCUCACUCUUACAAUCUGUCUGAUUCAGGGGCAGCGCUGCGGAUGUCAAGUGGAUGGGGAGGGGGCCUGCAGAGAUGGCGCGAGCGAGCGAGAGGGAGAGACUGACACAAGACAGACAGAGAUGCUGGAUGACCUCCAUCUAAAUCCUCCUGUCUAUCAGACCACAUCCAAUGGCCCGGCCUCAAUCAGAUGAUACCAAAGGGUCAACCGAACGCCACCUAGCGCUGGUCUUCAGUGCCAGCCUUCACUGCUUAAAAACGGAAAGGGGGAAACCAGAGCAGCAACCCCUGGAUUCGACUUUCUAGUUGCUAUUACAGAGGUUAUUUGCAGGACGGGCCCUUGCUCAGGAAUCAGGAGAUUGUGUAUCGGCAUUGAAUGAGGGAACGGUAUCACCAGCUGGUUCCUGUUUUACACAGCAGUGAUACCUAUGCACAUGCUGUUAGUUAUUUUUAGAAACACGUUCCUCACCUGGUAUGCGGGAAGCAGUCCUGGUGCCACAAUGUAUGGGUUAGGCAGCAAUGGUGGAACCCCUGGGGGAAGAUUGGGAGGAGCCUUCCCUGAAAAUCAUUACCAUUAAAUGUUAACAUUUAA